UUGCCGGUAACCGGGGCCUCGCGCUCCGGCAACUCACCCCGUCCAGAAUAUUCUGCACUUCCGGUAACGGCGCAGAAACCCAUCCCCCCCGGCGCCGGAGUCGGAACGAAGGUUCCGCAGGACAAACAGUUUAUUCCACAAUUUUAGGUUCUUCACGAUUACGAUUUUGAAGCAAUCUUUUGACCAUCAAAGAUUUCAACAUUUAAAAACAUCAGAUUGGACCAGUUAUGAGGAGAACAAUCAUCCAUGGUUGAAAUGUAUAAGUAAAAUAUUGUAAUUAGAAUUUUGGAACUUCGAAAUGGUGAAAAAUUUCAUAAAUAAAUCAUGUGCAUGCG